rnacentral:rRNA from 1 species
UCAGUUGUGAAAGUUUGCGGCUCAACCGUAAAAUUGCAGUUGAUACUGGAUAUCUUGAGUGCAGUUGAGGCAGGCGGAAUUCGUGGUGUAGCGGUGAAAUGCUUAGAUAUCACGAAGAACUCCGAUUGCGAAGGCAGCCUGCUAAGCUGCAACUGACAUUGAGGCUCGAAAGUGUGGGUAUCAAACAGGAUUAGAUACCCUGGUAGUCCACACGGUAAACGGUGAAUACUCGCUGUUUGCGAUAUACAGCAAGCGGCCAAGCGAAAGCGUUAAGUAUUCCACCUGGGGAGUACGCCGGCAACGGUGAAACUCAAAGGAAUUGACGGGGGCCCGCACAAGCGGAGGAACAUGUGGUUUAAUUCGAUGAUACGCGAGGAACCUUACCCGGGCUUAAAUUGCAGAUGAAUUACGGUGAAAGCCGUAAGCCGCAAGGCAUCUGUGAAGGUGCUGCAUGGUUGUCGUCAGCUCGUGCCGUGAGGUGUCGGCUUAAG